rnacentral:rRNA from 1 species
GACGAACGCUGGCGGCGUGCUUAACACAUGCAAGUCGAACGGGAUCCAUGGAGUAGCAAUACUCUGGAAGAUCUAGUGGCGAACGGGUGAGUAACACGUGAGCAACCUGCUCCAAAGACUGGGAUAACCCCGGGAACCGGAGCUAAUACCGGAUGUCCUCAUUAGAUCGCAUGGUCAUAUGAGGAAAUGAAUUUUCGCUUUGGGAGGGGCUCGCGGGCUAUCAGUGUUGGUGGGGUAAUGGCCUACCAAGACAUCGACGGCUAGCUGGUCUGAGAGGACGAUCAGCCACACUGGGACUGAGACACGGCCCAGACUCCUACGGGAGGCAGCAGUGGGGAAUCUUGCCCAAUGGGCGAAAGCCUGAGGCAGCAACGCCGCGUGCGGGAUGACGGCC